AUAGCUCGGGCAAGCACCAUACUAAAAAUCCCAGAUGAGUGAGAAGUGGAUAUCUUUCUUUUGAAAAAGUGUGUGUGGAAAACCUUUUAUAAAAGGAGGCUCCUUGAAUCUCAGACAAGUCAGUUGGAAAGAGGAGGCAACAGAUAGGCAUCAGAAAUGGACUCCCAUAAAACCAUCCUUGCACAGACAUUCCUUGGAAAGGCUUCAGACACUCAGGACUACAUCUAGAAAAAGCAUGUUCCCAGAAGAUAGCUCUGAAGGAGGGCUACCAAGAGGCAGCACCUUGAAAAUGCACGUGUUGUCCUAUUCUCUGAUUAGCCUCCCUGACAGAAGCCAAUCUGUAACUGAGAACUGAUGCAUCUUGAAGGCGGAAGUGCCAACCAUGGCAUGGCACACCUGGCUGGCAUGCGACUUCAGAGUUCCUCCCGUGCUUAUGAAGAUGAGGCGUGACUAGUCCAUGGCCUUUCCUGCGCACCAUUCGAAAAUUUCAUCGAUCAGGAAAAGAUGAGGAAGUAAAAAGGUACAAAAGCAGGAAGAAUGGGGACAAAUCUAGAAGAAGGGAAGAGAAAAAUUAAAGCUAAGUGGAAUAAAAUAAAAGCGGGUGACCAGCCUCGGUAGUAAAAUGUGUAUGUUAGAUUUUUCAAUUCCCUCUAAAGAUUUACUCUUUUUUAUAUUCAUGUUCAUGGCUUCCUGUUUUGCAAAUAAGGAAACUGAGGUAAGUAUUCUUUAACCAUCUCUUUGGUGCACUCAUGUCAGGAUUCUUGAGCCUGCUUGUCCUAAAUACUGCAGUUUUAAGGCCCCCAGAAAGAGAAUGACACUGCAGUCAUUAUGGACACAUCAUGUUAAUUUUGAUUUGAUUAAUUAUUGAGAAAUGGACUAGUGAGCUUAUGUUGUGUAUUUUUUUUUUUUAAAGAUUUUAUUUAUUUAUUUGAUAGAGAGAGAGACAGCGAGAGAGGGAACACAAGCAGGGGGAGUGGGAGAGGGAGAAGCAGGCUUCCUGCUGAGCAGGGAGCCUGAUGCGGGGCUUGAUCCUAGGAUUCUGGGAUCAUGACCCGAGCCGAAGGCAGACGCUUAACGACUGAGCCACCCAGGUGCCCCUAUGUUGUGUAUUUUAUUCAGUCCUUUAGGAAAGGCAAAAUAAGUAUAAUGGCCUCUGUCUCAAAGAAUCGGUAGUCUAAUGCAGAAGUCAAGAUUAGUACAUAGAUGAUGAUAACGCAGGUUGUAGCUGCAGAGUAACUGGAAAAUUAGUCCAUGGAUUUAUCUGUUUAGUAUACAGAUAAUCAAUAAUAUUGAGGAAAUAGAGGGAACUGGGAAUGAAAGAAAGUCAAUGGGAUCCUAGAAAAUUUGAGCUGAAAGAUAUUAACAGGCAUAUAACAAAUUUUAAUAGGAUCUCAGAGUUGGAGGGGAGCUAAGUCAUCUUAACCUUUCUUCUUCUUUUUUUUUUUUUAGAUUUUAUUUAUUUAUUUGAGAGAGAGAGAGCACGAGCAGGGGGAGGAGCAGAGGGAGAGGGAGAAAUAGACUCCCUGCUGAGCAGGGAGCCCAACGCAGAGCUCGAUCCAAGGCCCCCCCCGGGAUCAUGAUGUGAGCUGAAGGCAGAUGCUUGGACUGAGCCACCCAGAGUUUAAGUUUUGUUAUUUGAAAUUUUAUUCAUCUUUGAAUUUACUUGAGAAGAGAAUUCAAAAUUACUACGGGUCUUACUUUAGGGAAAAGAAAACAAUGUACAGUGAAAAGAGAAAAACGUCUCAUUGAAGCGUGUAUUGGUGAGGAAGAACUCGAAUGAGCAUGAACUGGAUGAACUUGCAUAACAGAAGGUGGGAGUGCUGAUAGACGGAUUCCAUCCUCUUAAAUGCAUAGGUAAAAGUAUAUCCUUUUUAUUAUCAUAAACAUUAUGCCCAAUUAACCAGCCCCAAAGUUAAACCACAGGUAGGCACCUUUCUAUGCUUCAUCCUCUUUGCUUCAGUCCUUCUUCAGACCCAGG